AAUUUUACAAUUAAUGAUUUUAUAAAUAAUAAAAAUAAUUUUAAUAUUAAAAUUGGGGGGUUUUAGUAUUAAUAAAAAAAAAAUUAUAAAAUUUAUAGUAAAUUAGUAUUGUAAAAGAAUUUUUAAAUAAUUAUGAAAUAUAAAAUUUAUAUAAAGUAGAUUUAAUUUAUUGUAUCUUGUGUAUCAGAGUUUAUUAAAUAUUUAAUUAAAUAUAUUUUUUCUCGAAUUUAAAAGAGAUAAUUAAUUAAUAAAGUUAUUGUUUCAUAAAUAUUUUUAAUAAUUAAUUUGAAAUGAAAUGUUAAUCGUUUUUAAAUAUAUCUAGUUUUUUUAGAAAAAAAUUUAAUUUUAUUUUUUUUUUAUAAAAAAUUAAUUAAUUAAUUUUUUAUAAAAAAAAAAUAAUAUUUUAAGGGAUAAGCUUUAAAUUAAAUUUUUAUAAUGUAUAAUUUAAUUUUAAUUAAAAUUUUUAAAAUUUAUAUUGUUUAUAAUUUUUAAUUUAUUAUAAAUUAAUUUUAAUUAAAUUAAAAUUUUUUAUUAAUUUAAUUUUUUAUAAAAAAAUAAUUUAUAAUUAGAUAAAAUUAAUUAUAAUGAUAAAAUUAGUAUUUAUUAUGAUAUUUAUUAUUUUUAUAUUGAUAUUUUUUUUAAUAUUUAUAUUUAAGUUAAAAGAAUUCGGCAAAAUUUUAUAUUCACUUGUUUAUCAAAAACAUGUCUUUUUGGAAAUAAUUUAAAGUCUAAUCUGCCCACUGAUUUAAAUAUUAAAGGGCUGCAGUAUAUUGACUGUACAAAGGUAGCAUAAUCAAUAGUCUCUUAAUUGGUGACUUGUAUGAAAGAUUGGAUGAGAUAUAAACUGUUUCUAAUUUAUUUAAAGAAAUUAAUUUUUAAAUUAAAAAGUUUAAAUAAAUUUAAAAGACGAGAAGACCCUAUAGAGUUUAAUAAAAAUAUUUUUUAAAAUUUUAUAUUAAUUUAAAAAUUAAAAUAAAUUAUUUUAUUUUGUUGGGGUGAUAGAAAAAUAAAAAUAACUUUUGAUAUUUAAUUAACAUAAAUAAGUGAAUUGUUGAUCCAAAUUUUUUGAUUAAAAGAAAAAAUUACCUUAGGGAUAACAGCGUAAUUUUUUUUUUUAGUUCAAAUAAGAAAAAAAGUUUGCGACCUCGAUGUUGGAUUAAGAUAAAAUUUAUAUGCAAAAGUUUAAAAUUUUGAUCUGUUCGAUCAUUAAAAUCUUACAUGAUCUGAGUUCAAACCGGUGUGAGCCAGGUUGGUUUCUAUCUUUAAGAAAAUAAAAUAUUUUAGUACGAAAGGAAUAAGUAUUUAAAUUAAAUUUAUAUUUUUGAAUUUUAUUAAUUUUUAUAUAGAUCUUAAAG
rnacentral:rRNA from 1 species